UUUGAUUUAGGAUUUGGAUUAGGGUUUGGUUAGGGUUUUAUUUAAGGUUUGGUUUAGGGUUUAGGAUUUGGAUUAGAGUUUAGGAUUGGAUUAGGGUUUGGAUUAGGGUUUAGAUUAGGAUUUAGGAUUUGGUUAGGAUUUGAUUAGGAUUUGAUUUAAGGUUUGGUUUAGGGUUUAAGGUUGGAUUAGGGUUUGGUUUAAGGUUUGAUUUAGGGUUUGGUUUAGGGUUUAGGGUUUAGGGUUUGGAAUAGGAUUUAAUUUAAGAUUUGUUUAGGAUUUGACUUAGGGUUUAGGAAUUAUUAGGGUUUAAGAUUUAAUUAGGUUUUUUCUAAAUUUGAGUGAAAUUCAAUAGGAUUUUAACUAGAAUUAAAUUAAGGUUGAAUUGACAUAUAUUUGAAUAAAAUUUGUGAUCAUUUUAAUAUUUCUUUAAAAAUUUUAUCAUUUGUUUGAAAUUUCUUUGAGUUGUUUUGAAUUGGAUUACGUUUGUUUACUAUUAUUAUAGUCUAAUUAGAACAUUGUUAGUAUUCUAUUUAGGAUUUUGUUAUCGCAAUUUCUAUUCUUCCUUCUAUAGCUAGGUGUCCGAAGCAUUCUCAAGCAAGACUUCACACAUUAUGACAUUGCCUCACCUUCUUUUGGUUCAAGGUAGGGACAUCUUAAUAAAGCAUCUGAUAAUCCU
rnacentral:lncRNA from 1 species